rnacentral:rRNA from 1 species
AUUCUGAUAUCCUGAGGACCCCCGAUGGGAAGGCAUCUACAGACGUCGACAUUAGGAACGAAGCUUGGGAGGACCGGAUUAAUACCCGGUAGUCCAGCGUAACUAUGCCGGUAGGUGUGCCUGUAACUACGAGGUACCGGGUGCCGAAGUGAAAACGUGAAACGUGCCGCCUGGGAAGUACGUCGCAAGGCUGAAACUUAAAGGAAUUGGCGGGGAGCACCACAACGGGUGGAGCCCGCGGUUUAAUUGGACUCAACGCCGGGCAGCUCACCGGAUAGGACAGCGGAAUGAUAGCCGGGCUGAAGACCUUGCUAGAAAAAGAAAAAAGGAGGUGCAUGGCCGUCGUCAGUUCGUACUGUGAAGCAUCCUGUUUAGUCAGGCAGCGAGCGAGACCCACGCCAACAGAAAAAAAGCAUGUUCUCCGGAAUGAUGAGGACAAUGUUGGGGCCGCAUCUGCUAAAGAGGAGGAAGGAAUGGGCAACGGUAGGUCAGCAUGCCCCGAAUUAUCCGGGCUACACGCGGGCUACAAUGGUCAGGACAAUGGGAAACGGCACUGAAAAGUGUAGUCAAUCUCCUAAACCUGUCCCAAGUUCGGAUUGUGGGCUGCAACUCGCCCACAUGAAGCUGGAAUCCGUAGUAAUCGCGUUUCAAAAUAGCGCGGUGAAUAAGUCCCUGCUCCUGCACACUACGUAAUCUAGAAGCACUCGCGAAAUGCGAGCUCGAAUCACUGCUGCGUCCAC